GAUUAAUUGAAUAGGCUAUAGUACUUUUAAUUGUCAAGAAAUAAUUUAUGCUUUUGCUAUGAAUGAGGUCUCUGCAGAACAAAAGUACCCGUUUCUAACUUUGUGGGUGUUUUCAAACUGGUGGGUGUUUCUAUUAUGCAAUAAAAAUGAUGCCCCUUACCUGACCCCACCCCUAAGCAUACCCAUCACUGUGACGUGAGCCAAUCAGUUAACAUGGUUGAAAACGCCCCUCUGUUGUGGCCUCGCCCACUGAUCUGGUAAUUCCCAUUACUUUCCUGCAGAGACCUGCUAUUGGUGAGGGUUAGCAUUAUGGUUGGGGUUAAAAUUAGGCUAGCUGCUUAUACGGGGCUGGGAAAACAUAGUUGGACACCUCUCUCCACACAGCUCUCUCAAAGGUGAAAAAAAAAACGAAAGGUCCGUAUCCGAUCAGAUGGUGGAUCAGCACCAAGAGAUGAUGUCUACAGCCCUGAUCGUCAGCGGAGACCAGGACACCCAGAUGACCCCCAGAGACAUAUCCCCAGUGAAGACCUCGAUUAAAAUACAAUAAAACUAAAAAUAUAAUAAAAUACCUAACUACAUAAUACUACUAUUGUUAGAAAUUGCAACAAAAUUAAAAUAGAAAUAUAAACUUUUGAACUGCGGGUUUCGUCUGGUCAGAGGAGAACUGGCCCCUCGACUGAGCCUGGUUUCUCCCAAGGUUUUUCUCCAUUCUGUCACAGAGGGAGUUUUGGUUCCUUGCGCUGUCGCCUCUGGCUUGCUCAGUUGGGGACACUUAAUUUCUAGCGAUUAUCGUUGAUUUGAUUGCACAGAUACUAUUUCAACUAAACUGAGCUAGACAAUGACAUAUCUCUGAAUUCAAUAAUGAAAUGUCUUUAACUGAAAAUUGAGUGUUUAAUCUUAUCAUUAUACAUUACUGACACUCUAUCCUCCAAUUUGAUACUGUUAAGUGCUUUGACACAAUCUGUAUUGUUAAAAGCGCUAUAUAAAUAAAGGUGACUUGACUUGACUUGACUAAGAUCUAAACUGCUAAAUAACAUAUUUGAGAUUAAAGUAAUAUCGGAUUUGUCUCGUUUUAAAUAAACACUAAAAACUUUUACUCAAAUGGUUAAAUGUUCAAUAAUCCCUUCCAAAGAUGUUUGGAAAGGGGAACUAAGGGAAACUGAGCCCUUGUCUUCAUACUGAGGUCAGCAAUGACACCUUCUGACAACCAAAAAUGGUAUAUAUGUUUUGUAGGCUAAAACUUGUGACCAGAAUGACAAAAAAUACUGCAAAUACACUACAAUAUGUGUUCCUGUCAUUCAUUACUACAUCGGAGCAUGGGGUUUGGUUGUAAUGCAGGUUCAGUUGCAGAGUUGCUUAAUGUAUGAAUGUAUAGGCUUAGGUUGACAUACUGUAUUUACAAUGUCAAUCUUUGAUUUUCAGCUUCCUUUAGAUAAGCACUGCAUGUGACCACCACUUCCACCUUCCACUCACAGAGAGCUGCAAAGAUGGCGUGUGUUGUGAGAUACAGUUUUCUAUUGAUCAGUAUCUGUUUAAGAAGCACCUCAUGGGCAGACACAAUGGUGCAAGGCAGCGGAAGAACAACUUGGGGCACCUCCUGAAGAUGGAGACAGUGACUGACACACGCACACACACUAAAUAUAUAAUUACUAUAAAUUAUGUUCUUGUUACUGUUUCCAUUAUUUGGACACAUUUUGAUGCUUUACUGUGGAAAUUAUCAUGGCAAUAAAGCCAAUUUGAACUGAAUCGAAUUGUCCGAGUUCCCCCCUCUCUACCACCCUUCCUAUGCAUGACCAUAUUUAAUAUUCAUUUAUAAUCCGUUUUUGUUCUCAAAAUAAAUUAAUGAUGCUUUC